AUACAUAACAAAUAAAUAAAUCUUUAAAUAAAAUAAGAAAAAUGAUCUGGACUGAGGGUAUAUAUAUAUGUACAGUUGAUUGGUAUAAUUUCAUUUUUAAUUUUUACCAACUGAGCCUCACACCCAGUCCUGAUUCUCCUCUUUGUAAAAGGAAAGGAAGGAAAAUGAAUGAGGCUGGGUGAUCUGAUGUCUAAUGUUCUGCUUUGAUACUUUAUUUCAUACCCAAGACUCAGUCUUCCUGGGUGUCUAUAGGCUGAUCUUUAAAAAAGGAAUCACUAUUCACAAACCCUCUUGCACUCACAAGGAGACAACAGCAGCUGGGGAGCUGCCGGAAGACCUGAGCUUGAAUCCCUAGGAGCCAUAGUGGAGCUCCAACCCCACAGCUCCUACACCAAGAAAGGAGAAUCCACUAACACUCUAGGAAUAGCUAGCCUGCCUUCCACAGCCUAAAAAAGGAGAUUCCUUCUCAAACAAGAUGGAUGGCAAGAACCAACACCAGAGGUGUAGUGGAGUAUAGACCCAUAUUAGAUUCACACAUGCAACAAUGGAAGGGAGGAAGGAGGCAAGGAGGGAGAAAAGGGAAGAGGGAAAAGAAACAUGCAAGCAAUG
rnacentral:lncRNA from 1 species